rnacentral:rRNA from 1 species
GCGGUUGAUCCCGCCGGACCUGACUGCUAUCGGAUUGAUACUAAGCCAUGCGAGUCAUUGUAGCAAUACAAGGCAGACGGCUCAGUAACGCGUAGUCAAUCUACCCUAUGGACGGGAAUAACCUCGGGAAACUGAGAAUAAUGCCCGAUAGAACAUUAUGCCUGGAAUGGUUUAUGUUUCAAAUGAUUUAUCGCCAUAGGAUGGGACUGCGGCCUAUCAGUUUGUUGGUGAGGUAAUGGCCCACCAAGACUAUUACAGGUACGGGCUCUGAGAGGAGUAGCCCGGAGAUGGGUACUGAGACACGGACCCAGGCCCUAUGGGGCGCAGCAGGCGAGAAAACUUUGCAAUGUGCGAAAGCACGACAAGGUUAAUCCGAGUGGUUUCUGCUAAAGAAACCUUUUGUCAGUCCUAGAAACACUAACGAAUAAGGGGUGGGCAAGUUCUGGUGUCAGCCGCCGCGGUAAAACCAGCACCUCAAGUGGUCAGGAUGAUUAUUGGGCCUAAAGCAUCCGUAGCUCGUUUUGUAAGUUUUCGGUUAAAUCCAUGCGCUUAACGUAUGGGCUGCCGGGAAUACUGCAUAACUAGGAAGUGGGAGAGGUAGACGGUACUCGGUAGGAAGGGGUAAAAUCCUUUGAUCUAUUGAUGACCACCUGUGGCGAAGGCGGUCUACCAGAACACGUUCGACGGUGAGGGAUGAAAGCUGGGGGAGCAAACCGGAUUAGAUACCCGGGUAGUCCCAGCUGUAAACUAUGCAAACUCAGUGAUGCAUUGGCUUAUGGCCAAUGCAGUGCUGCAGGGAAGCCGUUAAGUUUGCCGCCUGGGAAGUACGUACGCAAGUAUGAAGCUUAAAGGAAUUGGCGGGGGAGCACCACAAGGGGUGAAGCCUGCGGUUCAAUUGGAGUCAACGCCGGAAA